rnacentral:antisense_RNA from 1 species
AUUUCUUUUUAGUUUUCUGAUAAUCUUCAGUAAUUUAAAAACUUCUGGAGGUAAUUAUAAGGAACAUCAUUUCAAAGGAUACGGGGAAAAGAGAUGUCACAUGAACAUGUCUUAGAAUUUACACUGUAAAUCAAACAAUGUUGCUGCAAAGGCAUGUAAGUUAAUAUAGAAACAAUGGAAGAAUGUGAAGAAAACUCAGAGACAGUGAAGAAAGCCAGGAUAGGCUCCAAGAUCAGCUGGAUGAGAUCACAACAUGUGACCCUCACAGAUGAUAGAUCAAGAAAAUGGGAAGAGCUUCAAAGCCCUGAAACCAUAUAAAGGAGAGUCGCCCAACAACUAAAAGCACCCAUCCUAAACUAUUACGUGAACAAGAAACAAACCUCUAUUAAUAUAUUUGAAUUAUUAAAUAUUUUGAGUCUA